ACCUGUGUAGCUCAGUUGGUUAAGCAUCUGCCUUUGACUCAGGACAUGAUCCCAAGAUCCUGGGAUCCAGUCCCAGAACAGGCU
rnacentral:tRNA from 1 species